AUUGAACGCUGGCGGCAUGCCUUACACAUGCAAGUCGAACGGCAGCGCGGGAGCAAUCCUGGCGGCGAGUGGCGAACGGGUGAGUAAUAUAUCGGAACGUGCCCAGUAGUGGGGGAUAGCCCGGCGAAAGCCGGAUUAAUACCGCAUGAGACCUGAGGGUGAAAGCGGGGGAUCGCAAGACCUCGCGCUAUUGGAGCGGCCGAUAUCAGAUUAGCUAGUUGGUGGGGUAAAGGCCUACCAAGGCAACGAUCUGUAGUUGGUCUGAGAGGACGACCAGCCACACUGGGACUGAGACACGGCCCAGACUCCUACGGGAGGCAGCAGUGGGGAAUUUUGGACAAUGGGCGCAAGCCUGAUGCAGCGACGCCGCGUGGGGGAUGACGGCCUCGGUUGUAACGUACUUUCUAGCAGGACGGAAGGGUAGGACGUGACGGUACC
rnacentral:rRNA from 1 species